rnacentral:rRNA from 1 species
CCGGGUUGACGAGCGGCGGACGGGUGAGUAAUGUCAGGAACUGCCUUAUGGAGGGGAUACUACUGGAAACGGUAGCUAAUACCGCAUAACGUCGCAAGACCAAAGAGGGGGACCUUCGGGCCUCUUGCCAUCAGAUGUGCCCAGAUGGGAUUAGCUAUAGUGGGGUAACGGCUCACCUAGCGACGAUCCCUACUGGUCUGAAGGAUGACCACCACACUGGAACUGAACACGGUCCAGACUCCUACGGGAGGCAGCAGUGGGGAAUAUUGCACAAUGGGCGCAAGCCCGAUGCAGCCAUGCCGCGUGUAUGAAGAAGGCCUUCGGGUUGUAAAGUACUUUCAGCGGGGAGGAAGGUGUUGUGGUUAAUAACCACAGCAAUUGACGUUACCCGCAGAAGAAGCACCGGCUAACUCCGUGCCAGCAGCCGCGGUAAUACGGAGGGUGCAAAGCGUUAAUCGGAAAUUACUGGGCGUAAAAGCCGCACGGCAGGCGGUCUGUCCAAGUCGGGAUGUUGAAAUCCCCCGGGGCUCAAACCCUUGGGGGAAACUUGGCAUUUCGGAAAACUGGGGCCAGGGGCUAAAAGUUCUUGGGUAAAAGGGG